GAAACGACUGCUAAGACUGGAUAGGAAAAGUAAGGGCAUCUUUACUUUUUUAAAAGACCUUCUUUGAAGGUAUGCUUAAGGAGGGGCUUGCGACACAUUAGUUAGUUGGCAGGGUAAAGGCCUACCAAGACUAUGAUGUGUAGCUGGACUGAGAGGUUGAACAGCCACAUUGGGACUGAGACACGGCCCAAACUCCUACGGGAGGCAGCAGUAGGGAAUUUUCGGCAAUGGAGGAAACUCUGACCGAGCAACGCCGCGUGAACGAUGAAGUACCUCGGUAUGUAAAGUUCUUUUAUUAAGGAAGAAAAAAGAGUGGAAAAACUCCCUUGACGGUACUUAAUGAAUAAGCCCCGGCUAAUUAUGUGCCAGCAGCCGCGGUAAUACAUAAGGGGCGAGCGUUAUCCGGAAUUAUUGGGCGUAAAGGGUGCGUAGGCGGUUUAAUAAGUCUAUAGUUUAAUUUCAGCGCUUAACGCUGUUGUGCUAUAGAAACUGUUUUACUAGAGUGAGUUAGAGGCAAGCGGAAUUCCAUGUGUAGCGGUAAAAUGCGUAAAUAUAUGGAGGAACACCAGAGGCGUAGGCGGCUUGCUGGGACUUUACUGACGCUGAGGCACGAAAGCGUGGGGAGCAAACAGGAUUAGAUACCCUGGUAGUCCACGCCGUAAACGAUGAGUACUAAGUGUCGGGUAAAACCGGUACUGAAGUUAACACAUUAAGUACUCCGCCUGAGUAGUACGUACGCAAGUAUGAAACUUAAAGGAAUUGACGGGACUCCGCACAAGCGGUGGAUCAUGUUGUUUAAUUCGAAGAUACACGAAAAACCUUACCAGGUCUUGACAUUUUCUUGCGAAGUUAUAGAAAUAUAAUGGAGGUUAUCAGGAAAACAGGUGGUGCAUGGUUGUCGUCAGCUCGUGUCGUGAGAUGUUAGGUUAAGUUCUAAAACGAGCGCAACCCUUGUCGUUAAUUGCCAGCAUGUAAUGAUGGGGACUUUAACGAGACUGCCAAUGAAAAAUUGGAGGAAGGUGGGGAUUACGUCAAAUCAUCAUGCCCCUUAUGAUCUGGGCUACAAACGUGAUACAAUGGUUGAUACAAAGAGUAGCUGAAACGCGAGUUCUUAGCCAAUCUCACAAAAUCAAUCUCAGUUCGGAUUGAAGUCUGCAACUCGACUUCAUGAAGUUGGAAUCGCUAGUAAUCGCGAAUCAGCAUGUCGCGGUGAAUACGUUCGGGGUUUGUACACACCGCCCGUCA
rnacentral:rRNA from 1 species